rnacentral:rRNA from 1 species
AGUGAACGCUGGCGGUAGGCCUAACACAUGCAAGUCGAACGGCAGCACAGUAAGAGCUUGCUCUUACGGGUGGCGAGUGGCGGAAGGGUGAGGAAUACAUCGGAAUCUACUUUUUCGUGGGGGAUAACGUAGGGAAACUUACGCUAAUACCGCAUACGACCUACGGGUGAAAGCAGGGGAUCUUCGGACCUUGCGCGAUUGAAUGAGCCGAUGUCGGAUUAGCUAGUUGGCGGGGUAAAGGCCCACCAAGGCGACGAUCCGUAGCUGGUCUGAGAGGAUGGUCAGCCACACUGGAACUGAGACACGGUCCAGACUCCUACGGGAGGCAGCAGUGGGGAAUAUUGGACAAUGGGCGCAAGCCUGAUCCAGCCAUACCGCGUGGGUGAAGAAGGCCUUCGGGUUGUAAAGCCCUUUUGUUGGGAAAGAAAAGCAGCAGGUUAAGACCCCGCUGUUCUGACGGUACCCAAAGAAUAAGCACCGGCUAACUUCGU